rnacentral:rRNA from 1 species
GUGGAUUAGAUACCCUGGUAGUCCACGCCGUAAACGUUGGGAACUAGGUGUGGGUCUCAUUCCACGAGAUCCGUGCCGCAGCUAACGCAUUAAGUUCCCCGCCUGGGGAGUACGGCCGCAAGGCUAAAACUCAAAGGAAUUGACGGGGGCCCGCACAAGCGGCGGAGCAUGUGGAUUAAUUCGAUGCAACGCGAAGAACCUUACCAAGGCUUGACAUAUACGAGAACGCGUCAGAGAUGACGAACUCUUUGGACACUCGUAUACAGGUGGUGCACGGUCGUCGCCAGCU